rnacentral:rRNA from 1 species
UACAGAGGGUGCGAGCGUUGUUCGGAAUUAUUGGGCGUAAAGGGCGCGUAGGCGGUGCGGUAAGUCACCUGUGAAAUCUCCUGGCUCAACUGGGAGCUUGCAGGCGAAACUGCCGUGCUGGAGUGUGGGAGAGGUGCGUGGAAUUCCUGGUGUAGCGGUGAAAUGCGUAGAUAUCAGGAGGAACACCUGUGGCGAAAGCGGCUCACUGGACCAUAACUGACGCUGAUGCACGAAAGCUAGGGGAGCAAACAGG